rnacentral:lncRNA from 1 species
GAUGACAUAGGGGAGCUCUGGAAAAUUGCUCAUAGUUUUGCAACAGAGCUCACAGGCUCAGAAAAUUCCCACAUUUUCAAAAAUGAAGGCUUUGGCGGAGGGGAGGGGGGGCGGUACUCCGCCACCGUCUAAAUUAGCAAGCCAAAAGCACAUGUGACUCAGGGAGGGGGGAGGGGAAGAGGCUGCUGUACGUUCCUUCUUCAUCUUGCCCAAUUAGCAGUUCUGUCUGAGGGAACAUUCUUCCUGUGGCAAAGAACACACUCCUGUCUCCCGUCAGCCUGAAAUAGAAUCCUGGAGAGCAUGCGCCCUGCUCUCCUCUGCUCGCUCCGGGACCCAUCCUUGAUGCUGUGCCAGGAUUUCCCCUGCCUCCCCCAGACCUCUUCCGCCAGAGUUGUUUUUCCUCUACUCAUCAAAGACAGCGACGCCUGCACCCGUGUUAACAGAACUAUCUAGAAUAAGGGUUCCAAGCCUAGGACGGAGAGCGGAGACUGUCAACCCCAGCCUCCUUCCCCAUACUCCAGCAUCUUCCACGUCCCCACCUCCACACAUCCCCACAGGUGGGAUUCCUGUCGCCCACUCAUCGACAUUCCAUUAAAAAUAGGGACUAUCAACAGGUUCCGGAACACUGCUCUCCAACCCGGCAGGCCACAUCUGUGCAAAAUAAGUUGCAUGUUCCCGUUCUGGUUGAAGGCGUCACUGUGGACCAUUCUGCCAGGGAGGCCUCGGGCUGCGCGUUCUUUCUGCUGAGUUCAGACAUGCCGAGCUGGAUCCCCCCACGCUCUCUUAAGCAGCACCCAUUUGGCAACUCAAUUUAUCAAGAUGGCUGACAGGGGAGGGGUGGACACUGAGGCAUGGCAGAGUUUUCUCCCGCGGGUGCCAAAUAUCCAGUGUGGUUAUUCAAGCCCAGAUUUCAGUGCUGGGAAUUAACCAAAUUAACUAAAGCAGACCUGUCUGGGUGGCCAUGAAGAUUCAGAUGAUUUGAAAAGAUGUGAUUCACAACCCCCCUCCUACGGGGCUCCAGAAAUAAUUCCAGACCCUUGAAGAUCAUUGAAACCUAAAGCAAGAAAGAUCUUUAAGAAGUCAUCUACUGGGGGCCAGCCCAGUGGUGCAGCAGUUAAG